rnacentral:lncRNA from 1 species
GCAAAGAUCACCGUCAACAAGAAAUCGGUAAAUUGAGUCGUGUGUUUUUUGUCGAAAUCACUUGUACUCAAGUUUUCUUAGUGGAUUUUCUUUGCGUGAUCGGUCCCGUGGGUUUUUCACUCCGAAUUGGAGUUUUCCCACGUUAAAUUCUCGGUGUGCUAUUUUAAUUUCCGCAAUUGUGUUUUGUUUGCAUCGAGAUUUUUCGAGUUUGCCGGAUUACACCUAUUCACCCCCCUCUAGGUGUUACUUACCUUUUUAGAUCCUCGGGAUCCAUAUCUUACAUUUCGCUCACCAUAUUCUAACGGAUAGGAACCGACCUACCCCUCCAGUGGGAGUCUCAACUAUCAUCGCCAUAUGAUUACUAGCACUCUCUCACAACCUCAUAGUUAAGCACCUACGCUGUAAUAUACCAGAUUUUGGUAUAAAAAUAGAAGUAAAUAAAAAUAGUGUGAGAUACUAUUUUUAUUUGGUUUUUGAGAAGCAAUGUAUAAGUCUAUAAUGACUUGUGCUGAAAUCGGAAUGAAAACAGAAGAUUUAUAAUUUUCUGUUGAAAACGAGACAGAUAAAUUAGCAAAAAGUACAGAGUCUCAGAAAAUUAUGAAAAUUGGAGGAUAAGUCAGAAAUAUUUUUAUGAGGCUAGAUUUAAAGUUUCAUAUUUUUCUGACACCCGAAAGUUGAGAAAUAAAAUCCGAAAUCUAUCUGAUAAAGAUUACAGUUCGGUACAGUUUUCGGUGACCAAACGGGGUCAAAACUGAAAACUUAAAGUAUAUUCUUGUUCGGUACGUUAAACCGAAUAUGACUGUCAAAUUUGAGCUCAAACGGAUACUCUGAGAGCUCCGGCGAAAGAUAUCAGAUUUUAAGUUGCCUGGAGUGAAUAGUGUUUUUGGAAGCUUCAUAGAAAACUUGGAG